AGAUAAUGUGGACAGUGUUAAAAAAUAUCUUUGAUCCUCUCCCAUGCAUGAUAUAAAUUCUUACCUGGCUUCUGUUUGAAGCACAAAUACUCACUGCACAGUCU
rfam:Capsicum annuum cultivar Zunla-1 chromosome 11, whole genome shotgun sequence